rnacentral:rRNA from 1 species
UACGUAGGGUCCGAGCGUUUGUCCGGAAUUACUGGGCGUAAAGAGCUCGUAGGUGGUUUGUCGCGUUGUUCGUGAAAACUCACAGCUCAACUGUGGGCUUGCGGUCGAUACGGGCAUCACUGGAGUUCGGCAGGGGAGACUGGAAUUCCUGGUGUAGCGGUGAAAUGCGCAGAUAUCAGGAGGAACACCGGUGGCGAAGGCGGGUCUCUGGGCCGAUACUGACGCUGAGGAGCGAAAGCGUGGGGAGCGAACAGG